UUCUUUAAGUAUUUAAUUUAAAGUAAAACCUGCUCAAUGACAAGAAUAAAUAGCCGCAGUUUACUGUGCUAAGGUAGCAUAAUAAUUUGCUCUAUAAUUAAGAGAUAGAAUGAAAGGUUCAACAUUAGAAAUAUGUUUCUAUUUUAAAAAUUAAAUUAAGAAAAAAGUAAAAACUCUUUUAAUAAAAAACAAGACGACAAGACCCUGAUAAACUUAAUAAUUAGUUGGGGAAACAAAAUAAUAAAAUUUUAUAAUAAUAUAAACACAACUUUAAAAUAAAAUAAAGAUUAGUUACUACAGGGAUAACAGCGUUAUUUUCUUCUAGAGCCCUUAUCUAAAAGAAAGAUUACGACCUCGAUGUUGAAUUAAUUAUCCUAUAUUUAACGCAAAAGUUACAAAAGGUAGUCUGUUCGACUAUUAAAAAAUU
rnacentral:rRNA from 1 species